rnacentral:rRNA from 1 species
CGUCUUAGUUCGUGGAGUGAUCUGUCUGCUUAAUUGCGUUUCACUAAGGGCCCAUAAAUUCAAGGUAUGUUAGCUAUCGUUUCUCAAUUGACCCCUUGUCUUCGAUAAGCGCGUGUCUUUUAGAGUUUAAACAUUGCGCAUGCUGUUGGGUCCUGAAAGCAACGAACGUGACCGCAACGUCUUAUUGCCUUUAUCUUGUUAUAUUCUAAUUUAAUUAGAAAUAACUAACAGAGGCUAAUUUAAAAUUAGACGGACCGCUGUACUUUUCUUAAACCAGAGGAAGGUUGCGGCAAUAACAGGUCUGUGAUGCCCUUAGAUGUUCCGGGCUGCACACGUGCUACAAUGAUCAGUACAGUGAGCAUCUCAAUAUUAUACACCGUAUUAAGCGCUUAGUUGCGAUUAUUGGCUCAUUAUUGGGUCUUUUAAUUGUAUUUCUAAUGCGCGCGGUAAAGCCUGCUUCGAGAGUAAGUGGGUAAUCCAUUGGAAGUAAUGAUUUCUCUUUUUAUAGCACACCUAUAUACGGCAUUCAUUCCCGGGACGACUAGUUUCG